UUUAGUAGCAAAUCUCAGGCGAAUCAUUUCGAAAACCAGCAAGCCUACUGCAGUGGUAUCUGCAUUUAUCGCAAUAGCAAACCAAUCUCAUUGUUACCUGCCUUAAACUUGCUCUUUUAACAGCAUUCGAUAAAUCUGCUUUCAUAAAAUACAACCGCUGACCUCUACUAUUAAACAUAUUGUUAAUUUCUUGUAAAAAAAAAUACUUGCUUUUUUCCAACAUAAUCUCAUAUACAGUAUAGCGGCCGCUAUGUUUUUCACAUGCCCAAUGCAUUGUAGGAUGAUAACGUGAUAUGGUUGCCAUUCACUUUAUACUGCAUUUGAGAAAGGCGGGAAGUCUACCACAUCGGCCUCACAGUGCAGAGAGAAGGGGUUUGAUUCUGUCCCCACCUGUCUGGAGUUUGCAUAUUCUCCCCGCGCAGUGCAGAAGUGAGUUUUCUUCGGGCACUCCAGUUUCCUCCCAAAUUCCAUGGUAGGUUGAUUGAACGGUCUAAACUCUCCCUAAGUGUGAUUGUGAACGUGAAUGGUUGUCUACGUGUGCCCUGAGAUUGGCUGGCAACCAGUUCAGGGUGUACCCGCCUACUGCCCGAAUUCAGCUUGGAUAGGCUCCAGCAUGCCCACGACCCUCGUGAGGAUAAGCUGUUCAGACAAUGGAUGGAUGGUCGAAGUUCCAUCCUCAAAGCAUUUGAGGCGAUUCCUUUGGUGUGAACGGGACCUUAAAGUCACCAGGGAGAUAACACAUCCUAAGAGAUAAAGCAUACAUUGCUGGAUUUUCCCCGUGCAGUAUGGACUCGCAGAGCUCUCAUCAACAGAGAAGGGGGGGUUGGCUGGUGACUCAAACAUUGGGCCUAUUGAUCUCCACUCAAGCAUCCCACGGGACUAGUUCCUUCUAUCACCGGGGGGCCCUCUAAACAGGUAACAUACACAGCCGAAUAAAUGGAGUAAUGACUUCUCUGUGAUGGUUUGCUGUUUUAACAAGGUGUGGGCCCUAAAAUAUCUCUUAGCCUAAUGAUGAGGCCCACUUGAUUAUCAAUGGAAAUCUAGCAACAUGCUGCUCGAGUGUGCUGUGUUUUGUUGGUGUCUUGUCACGCAGGUAAAGAUGAACAUGCAGUAUGCUGUUCGAUCACUUCCUCCGAACUUAACCGGGAACGUCAUCACAGGAAAUAUGCGCUUUAAUUCUGGGUCAACAUUUGAAUGGAAAUGUGUAUAGAUAAAUCACCAUAAAUUAUAGCGUGGAAAACCAGAUUCACCGCUGUACCAGCGAUUGAGUCUGGUCACAAUCACAUCAAGCGCAUUUCUGAGGCAUCCAGUGGACAUGGUUAAAACUCUGGGCCGAUCACAUGACUUUCAGCUGAUUGGUAUCAGCUCAAAAAGAUUUGAUUUUUAAAUUGUCUUAAUUUCUAAAGUCAAGGAUAAAAUAGUUUCAUUCUUUUCAUUAUUUGAACCACUGCUCAUUAACAGCCAUAUAACGUGUUUCAUCUUGAGAUACCUUCAUUCAAAAUAAAUGAAUAAGAUAAUUGAAACAAUUGGGAUGUGGGGUUCUUUUUCCUCUCCAUUCUAUUGUAUUGCAGAGGUGUUCAUCGGGACUCAGUAUCAGCAGAUAUUCAAAAUCAAAUGACUUGCACUCUGCCAUUCGCCCCCAUUGCAUUGAAAAAUAUCUUGUUUGGCUUGGGAACUUGUUGCGCUGUGGUGGUUGGACCAACAAGCAGGAUAAGUUGAAUCGGUGACUACAAGACCAAUGUUUUGAACUGGCAUUCCGGACCAAGAGGAGAGAACGUUGUGAUAAACGCUAGUUUGCAGCGCCUUCCUGCUGAGAGUCAUUUAAAAUUUGGAUAUGAGAUAUUUCUUCAAUUUUCACAUGGAUGCAGUAUUCUUUGACCUCUUGAUACUCUGCCAUGUUUUAUUUAGAAUACCAAUUGCAAAUUUAAAGAAUAAAUGGACGACAUAUCUGAAUGCAAACUCAAAAAAUAAAUAUCAUAUGUUAAGCACAUUCACUGUGUCAUCCCAGGCACCCGACUAAAACAUUUCUGUUUGUGCUUUUGACUGCUUUGACAUGUUUCAUUUAACACUUAAACAAUUCAUCAGUGUGGGUAAAGGUUUGUGAAGAUAUAUUGUAUUUAUUUUUCUUGACAGUAUCUGCAUAUUAAAAAAAAACUAAGUAAGAAAGAGAAACAUGAAUGAUUUUUCAACAUUUUGGUGUGUCCCGUGGCUCUAUUGAAUGAUGACUGAUUGGUUUAAGACAAGGAAGAUGAAGAAGAAACUUCUGUUCUCCUGCCUUGCCACUCAGUGUAGAAGGUAAGUACGGUCAUACAAUGCAGGCAAAUGACAGGGGCCAUGUCAAGUGUUAUUAUAGUCUUUGCUGUGAGCCGCAAAUAAUAAAUGUCCAUAGUUUAAACACCCCAAAAAUAAUCGAAAUAGAGAAUUGUUUGAAACCAAAAUCAUUUCAAUUCAAAUGGUGGCCAACCCUAUGCUCCACUACGUUUUGCUCUCAGUCAUUUUUACCCUGGCGGUGACUCCUACAUUUCCAAUUAAUAUUGUGCCGUAAUGCUACAUAAUGGCGUUUAAUACGAUUGACUCUAAGAAUGUGAUAUUUCAUGCUGCAGUCUAGGGUGCAACCAAUGCGAGAAAUGAACAGAGAUAGUGUGAAUGUAGUUCAAAGUGGUUAAAAACGGCAGAGGUAAAAAAAAAUGGCUGGUGGAAAUUCUGUUUAGCUGGUAACUUUAGAGAGUCAACAGGCAAUAUGAUGACCUCUGAUCAAAAGAGUUCAUUUAGAAACCUGGUCAUAAAUGUGCCGGAUUUUUCAAAGUGCAACUUUGAAACUUCGCCAAGCCAACAUCUGCAUCAGCUGCCUUUGCAACAUUGACGCACUUUCAGCAGCCACAUCAAUGAGCGCGUGUCAUACCGGCUUACGACCUAUUUUCCAUCCGGGAUGUACUUCACUCCUAUAUCGGUUUGGAGGUCUAUCUCUGGCCAGACAGAAGCCAGCUUCGCCCCACUAACUUUGACUGCAUAAGCAAUGUGCAGCUGACUACUUUCUGACACUAAAUUUCUGAAAACUAAACCAAUCGCCACCAAAAUUCAUGUGCACAUCCCUACUCUUGUCCUGUUCAACCUGUCAAAAUGUAAAAUGGUCGACACAAUAUUUUGAUUUUUUGGAGGUGAUAACAGCUUUUCCUCUUCGGAGCUCACAUUUAAUCUAAAUAAAAUACAAAAUAAUCUGCUGAUGGCUUGUAUAUUUUCACUGGAUGGAGGGGACAUGAGUAAAGCUGUGCAUAUGAAUUUUGGUGAUGAUCAGUCACCGUUUUCAGAAGAACAGUGUCAGCAAAUGCAUGCAGUAACCCGCAGGAGCGUGGACUCUGCAUGCUUACACCCAACAACUUGCUGGCAGCGACAUGGCUAAACACAAGACAAAUGAUCAGACUUUGUAUUGGUCUGUCGUGGUGAAGAAUAAGCUGAGCCAGAAAGCGAAGCUCUCAAUUUACCGGACGAUCUAUGUCCCCACCCUCAUCUAUGGUCACGACCCACCACUUGUGACCGAAAGAACAAGAUCCCGGAUACAAGAGGCCAAAAGGAGUUUCCUCCCAGGGUGUCGGGUCUCUCCCUUAGAGAUAAGGUGAGAAACCCGGUUAUCUGGGAGGGACUCAGAGCUGCUUCUCCUCCAUGUUGAGAGGAGCCAGAUGAGGUGGCUCGGGCACCAGUUUAGGAUGCCUCCUGAAUGCCUACCUGGUGAGGUGUUCCGGGAAUGGACACCAAUUUGAAAAUUUUCCAGCUUUUACAGAAUGAAAUUCUCAAAAAUGUAAUUACUUAAAUAAAAUAAAUAACAUAAUUCUGAGGCCUGCAUGAGCUGUCGGCUUUGCAUUCCCAAAAACAAUAAUUAAACAAAAAAAAAAGGAAUGAAACAAAACCUGAGUCAACAUUGCACUGACUUGUUGGGAAAGACGUACUCUUUCAGCGGAUGACAGCAAGAACAGCGAGAACAAUUAGUCAAGAAACAAAAAACAAGAUGUUCCAUUUUGGCCCGAAAUGUGGCAUCAAAUAGCAUCACUUAGUUUGCUUAAGGUGUUUACAAAUGUUCAAAGUCACGCAUCCCAGAUGAAUAAGCCAUCCAAAGAAAGACAGCACGUCUUCAGACAAGAGUAAUCUUCUCACGCUGACUGAUAACAUCUUAAAAGGUGCCUUUUGACUUCAUGCUUGGUGUUCCCCUCACACAAACACAAGCUUUACUGAACUGAGCUGACCUAUCUCGAGGCAAACCCAAACAAAUUUAAGGCCUACGGCUUCUGAUCGUGUUUGGGUAACAAGGUGUAAUACAUUCUCAAGUGAUCUGUCACUGAUUGAGAAUGGCCGAUUCAGGUUUUGUGCCGUGUCCUUCAGCUCCCUUUGUUAUGUGACACGGAGAUGGGAAGAGUAAGUGUCACGAGCCAUCUUGGGAGGCUUGUCCUCUCUGCCUCUGAAAGCAUUCCCAAGCUUUUGUUUCCUCGGGAAGAUAGAGAAUUGUGCAAAGAUAGUUCUGGGUGACUGCUCUGAGUGUCAUGGGUGGGGGGGAAAAAUCUGGUUUGUGAUUUGCUGCAGGUAGACAUUUAGGAAAUUGAAUACUUGAAUUAAAAAUGGUAACCAAUUAAGCUUUUUUUUUUUUUUAAUUUAGCCUUGCAUCCACAAUCCGAGAGUGGGACACACGUGCUUUUUGGUUGACAUGAAAGUCAUAGGAACAUAUGCACAUGCCAAAGUUUCAUCCGAGACUUUGGCACACCAAGGUGCUCCAACUUCUCAUCAAGCGCUCUCAGUUUGGCAGGUACGGCCCUAUAAUGACAAGAUAUUUUUUACUUCAAAGCCUUUUAAGCUUAAAUGGGUCGAAGAAAAAAAAAAGAAAACCUUUAAGAUUCCAGCCAGGUCUCACCAAUACCACACACCUUCACUCUUAGGGAACACCCCCCCCCCACCCCACUUCCCUCCCUCCCGCCAGCUCAACCUCUGAGCUCAAGUAGAUGUUGUUAGACAAUACAGAGAAUUCCACAGAAACACUUCAUACAGAGUGGCAGUCCCAGAGAUGUAAUCCAAUGCCAUUCUCAGGCUUCAUAAUGUCCGCAGUGAUCAGGGGGUGGCCAGUGGGACAAGUCUCGACAUAGCUGGGUUCAAACGACUCCCUCAUUCUCGAAAGCAACGCUUUGUUCCCAGAUCAAUCCGGUCCUUUUCUCCCUCUGACAAAGCCGCAACGUUUAACAGCAGGAUUAAAAGCCCCGAAUCCCAACACUGGCACUUAGCAAAAGCAACAGAGGAGAGAGCAUUGGGAGCAUUGGGAGAGCUGAUGCUUCACUGGCUCACCUCACCCACUGAGCGAAAGGUGCUUGCUCGGGUGGAAACCUUAAAACCAUAUUCGCCCACACUGACCGCUUCGCUUACAUCAUGCAACUUUGCUGGUCAAUUGUUAUUCAACAACUAACAAGUUAAUGAAAUCCUUCACUGAAGUUAAAGCUUGUACGAAUAUAUAACCACACACUUGAGGUAAGACACACAACUUGAUUGCUCUACCAGAGUGUUUAAAGCUAUGAUUAAGUCACUGUCACAUAUUUUAAUGAGAAAACAAAAAUGCAUGGGUGUCAUCGUUUUUUUGGAGUGUAGUUUGUGUCAGGAAGAAAGUUUUUUUUUUUUUUAGUCUUCCCAAAAUCAUUACAAACCAGCAAUUUGACACCCACCCAAAAG